rnacentral:tRNA from 1 species
GCCUCCGUGGUGUAAUGGUCAGCACACUGAGCCGGUAUUUCAGAGGUCCGCGGUUCGAUUCCCGGCGAAGGCG